rnacentral:sRNA from 1 species
AGGAGUUGGACAUUCAAUGGAAUCUAAGUUGGCAUCUUUAGGAAUUAAAACUUGUGGAGACUUGCAGUAUAUGACCAUGGCAAAACUCCAAAAAGAAUUUGGUCCCAAAACAGGUCAGAUGCUUUAUAGGUUCUGCCGUGGCUUGGAUGAUAGACCAGUUCGAACUGAAAAGGAAAGAAAAUCUGUUUCAGCUGAGAUCAACUAUGGAAUAAGGUUUACCCAGCCAAAAGAGGCAGAAGCUUUUCUUCUGAGUCUUUCAGAAGAAAUUCAAAGAAGACUAGAAGCCACUGGCAUGAAGGGUAAACGUCUGACUCUCAAAAUCAUGGUACGAAAGCCCGGGGCUCCUGUAGAAACUGCAAAAUUCGGAGGCCAUGGAAUUUGUGAUAACAUUGCCAGAUCCAAUGGAAGAAGACAUUCUCCAAGUUGUGAAAUACUGUACUGAUCUAAUAGAAGAAAAAGAUUUGGAAAAACUGGAUCUAGUUAU